rnacentral:misc_RNA from 1 species
AAGUCGUAACAAGGUUUCCGUAGGUGAACCUGCGGAAGGAUCAUUAACAAGAAGAAUAUUGGUUUACUGAAUGUUUGGAUUGGGUAUGAAUGAUUGGGAAACUGAUUGUUUAUGCUUUUUCUGACAUUCUUUUAUAUCAAACACUAAUGUGAAUAGGAACUUGUGGCAAAAAUAAUGGAUGGAAUAACAACCAUUUUUUUAUUAUUAAACCCUUUCAAACCUCAAACAAAAGAUAAAAACAAAAACAAAAAUCCAAUGUCACAAUUGGAAAUAAAAAAUUCAAAUAAAAUGAACAACUUUUAACAAUGGAUAUCUUGGUUCUCGC